GCUAAACGCGAAGAACCUUACCCACACUUGACAUGCCUCUUUUGGCUUUCAGAGAUGAUUGCCUUCGGUUCGGCCGGGGAGUGCACAGGUGCCGCAUGGCUGUCGUCAGCUCGUGUCGUGAGAUGUUGGGUUAAGUCCCGCAACGAGCGCAACCCUUAUCGUAUGUUGCCAGCAUUUAGUUGGGCACUCGUGCGAGACUGCCGGUGAUAAGCCGGAGGAAGGCGGGGACGACGUCAAGUCAUCAUGGCCCUUACGUGUGGGGCUAGAAACGUGCUACAAUGGGAGUGACAGUGAGCAGCAGGGUCGCGAGGCCAAGCUAAUCUCCAAAAGCUCUCUCAGUUCAGAUUGUAGUCUGCAACUCGACUACAUGAAGUUGGAAUCGCUAGUAAUCGCGAAUCAGAAUGUCGCGGUGAAUACGUUCCCGGGUCUUGUACACACCG
rnacentral:rRNA from 1 species